CAGCAGCCGCGGUAAUACGGAGGGGGCUAGCGUUGUUCGGAAUUACUGGGCGUAAAGCGCACGUAGGCGGCUUGGUAAGUUAGAGGUGAAAGCCCGGAGCUCAACUCCGGAAUUGCCUUUAAGACUGCCGAGCUAGCAGGUGAGAGAGGUAAGUGGAAUUCCGAGUGUAGAGGUGAAAUUCGUAGAUAUUCGGAAGAACACCAGUGGCGAAGGCGGCUUACUGGCUCAUACUGGACGCUGAGGUGCGAAAGCGUGGGGAGCAAACAGGAUUAGAUACCCGAGUAGUCCCUGUCUCUUAUAC
rnacentral:rRNA from 1 species